rnacentral:rRNA from 4 species
UAAGCCUGCGAAGGUGGCCUGUGAGGGUUGCUGGAGGUAUCAGAAGUGCGAAUGCUGACAUAAGUAACGAUAAAGCGGGUGAAAAGCCCGCUCGCCGGAAGACCAAGGGUUCCUGUCCAACGUUAAUCGGGGCAGGGUGAGUCGACCCCUAAGGCGAGGCCGAAAGGCGUAGUCGAUGGGAAACGGGUUAAUAUUCCCGUACUUGGUGUUACUGCGAAGGGGGGACGGAGAAGGCUAUGUUGGCCGGGCGACGGUUGUCCCGGUUUAAGCGUGUAGGUGUGUGUUCCAGGUAAAUC